UGGCAACACAGAAUAAGAAUGAUGGA
rnacentral:piRNA from 1 species